rnacentral:rRNA from 1 species
UAGGGAAUCUUCCACAAUGGACGCAAGUCUGAUGGAGCAACGCCGCGUGAGUGAAGAAGAUCUUCGGAUCGUAAAACUCUGUUGUUAGAGAAGAACACGAGUGAGAGUAACUGUUCAUUCGAUGACGGUAUUUAACCAGAAAGUCACGGCUAACUACGUGCCAG